AGUGAACGCUGGCGGCAGGCCUAACACAUGCAAGUCGAGCGGCAGCGCGUCCGACCACCCUCGGGUGGUCGGAUGGCGGCGAGCGGCGGACGGGUGAGGAAUGCAUCGGAAUCUGCCUCGUUGUGGGGGAUAACGUAGGGAAACUUACGCUAAUAACCGCAUACGACCUACGGGUGAAAGUGGGGGACCUUCGGGCCUCACGCGAUGAGAUGAGCCGAUGCCGGAUUAGCUAGUUGGCGGGGUAAAGGGCCACCAAGGACGACGAUCCGUAGCUGGUCUGAGAGGAUGAUCAGCCACACUGGAACUGAGACACGGUCCAGACUCUACGGGAGGCAGCAGUGGGGAAUAUUGGGACAAUGGGGGCAAACCCUGAUCCAGCCAUGCCGCGUGUGUGAAGAA
rnacentral:rRNA from 1 species